CCCCGUUCCCUCUCCCCUCUCCCCGUUCUCUCCCUUCUCCCCGCUCUCUCUCCCCGCAGCCGGGGCUCGGGAGCGCCCGCCAAAGGCGCUGCGUGGGGGAUGCUCGCUCAGCCCCGCCGGAGCAUCCUCCUCCUCCAUCUCCUCCUCCUUCUCCUUCUCCUUCUCCUCCUCCUCCUCCUCCUCCUCCUCCCCUCCGCCCGCUCUCCCGCUCGGGGGCCCGGCAGUGCCCGGGGACAGCCGGGGACAGCGGGAGCGCCCGGCCAGCCCAGAGCAUCCAAAGCAUCGAUCCGGACCGUGCCAUGGCAACGAGACCCCGCGCCCGCCGAGGUGGGCACCCAUGGAGGGUGAGGAGGAGGAGGAGGAGUUUGGAUGUAACCCCGUACUCCCAAACCCGAAGUAAUGCAGCUGAGCUCGUUCUAUUUUAAGAUCUCCAGACCCAUUUUUCUGCUGCACACCCAGAUCUCGAGGAUGCUGGGACAUCCUGGUUUUGUUCCUUUUACUCCCAAACUCUGACACCCAAAGGGACACCACCUGUUGCCAUUCCCUCCUGACCAGCGAAUCCACACCCUGGCGUAUUUCCAAUUCCAGCUAACGCAGAAUGCAGCUCACAGAUGUUCUCACCAGACCAAGCACGUUUUUUGGAGUCACAGAAAACCCAUCUGCUCUCCACUUCGUCCUCCUCUUCCUCACAGCCUGGUUUACCUAAAGAAUGAAUGUCCAGAUUCCCUAAGGAGCACAGGGCCCACCACAGCUGGUCAAGGCAGACCCAGGGACCUGCCCAGCCCUGUAGCUCAUCUUGGAUUAGCAGCAGAUGUGCCAGAAGGAAAGGACAGAGUCUUACAGUAUGCAGGUAUCUUUAUUUUCUUGCUGAUUCUAUUGGUUUAACCCCUGAAGCAUGAAAGGUUAUUGUAAUUACAUUACAAAAAUGGAUGCAGUAAUCAUUCCUCUGGAUACUCCUGAUAUCCAUGGAAGUGCCCAGUCCCUCUCCCACUCUCGCUGAGUACUUGAUGCUGUGCUGACCAGCACCACUGGACAUCUCCUGAGAAAUCCUGUUGAUCAGUUUUCAGUUUCCUGAACUCUUCAAACCGGCAGUACUUCUCCUUCUCAUUGUACCUGAGCCCCAUCCCCUCUGUGCUCUGAGCUACCUACACCCAAUCUGGCCCUCUCAGCCAGGAAAC